AACGAACGCUGGCGGCAGGCCUAACACAUGCAAGUCGAACGGCAGCACAGGAGAGCUUGCUCUCUGGGUGGCGAGUGGCGGACGGGUGAGGAAUACAUCGGAAUCUACUCUGGCGUGGGGGAUAACGUAGGGAAACUUACGCUAAUACCGCAUACGACCUACGGGUGAAAGCAGGGGACCUUCGGGCCUUGCGCGAUUGAAUGAGCCGAUGUCGGAUUAGCUAGUUGGCGGGGUAAAGGCCCACCAAGGCGACGAUCCGUAGCUGGUCUGAGAGAAUGAUCAGCCACGCUGGAACUGAGAAACGGUCCAGACUCCUACAGGAGGCAGCAGUGGGGAAUAUUGGACAAUGGGCGCAAGCCUGAUCCAGCCAUACCGCGUGGGUGAAGAAGGCCUUCGGGUUGUAAAGCCCUUUUGUUGGGAAAGAAAUCCAGCUGGCUAAUACCCGGUUGGGAUGACGGUACCCAAAGAAUAAGCACCGGCUAACUUCGUGCCAGCAGCCGCCGUAA
rnacentral:rRNA from 1 species